AUGGUCAAGUGAAGAAGCGCAUACGGUGGAUGCCUUGGCAGUCAGAGGCGAUGAAAGACGUGGUAGCCUGCGAAAAGCUUCGGGGAGUCGGCAAACAGACUUUGAUCCGGAGAUGUCUGAAUGGGGGAACCCAGCCAUCAUAAGAUGGUUAUCUUGUACUGAAUACAUAGGUGCAAGAGGCGAACCAGGGGAACUGAAACAUCUAAGUACCCUGAGGAAAAGAAAUCAACCGAGAUUCCCUUAGUAGUGGCGAGCGAACGGGGACUAGCCCUUAAGUGGCUUUGAGAUUAGCGGAACGCUCUGGAAAGUGCGGCCAUAGUGGGUGAUAGCCCUGUACGCGAAAAUCUCUUAGUCAUGAAAUCGAGUAGGACGGGGCACGAGAAACCUUGUCUGAAUAUGGGGGGACCAUCCUCCAAGGCUAAAUACUACUGACUGACCGAUAGUGAACUAGUACCGUGAGGGAAAGGCGAAAAGAACCCCGGAGAGGGGAGUGAAAUAGAUCCUGAAACCGUAUGCGUACAAGCAGUGGGAGCCCACUUUGUUGGGUGACUGCGUACCUUUUGUAUAAUGGGUCAGCGACUUAUUUUCAGUGGCGAGCUUAACCGAAUAGGGGAGGCGUAGCGAAAGCGAGUCUUAAUAGGGCGUCUAGUCGCUGGGAAUAGACCCGAAACCGGGCGAUCUAUCCAUGGGCAGGUUGAAGGUUGGGUAACACUAACUGGAGGACCGAACCGACUACCGUUGAAAAGUUAGCGGAUGACCUGUGGAUCGGAGUGAAAGGCUAAUCAAGCUCGGAGAUAGCUGGUUCUCCUCGAAAGCUAUUUAGGUAGCGCCUCAUGUAUCACUGUAGGGGGUAGAGCACUGUUUCGGCUAGGGGGUCAUCCCGACUUACCAAACCGAUGCAAACUCCGAAUACCUACAAGUGCCGAGCAUGGGAGACACACGGCGGGUGCUAACGUCCGUCGUGAAAAGGGAAACAACCCAGACCGUCAGCUAAGGUCCCAAAGUCAUGGUUAAGUGGGAAACGAUGUGGGAAGGCUUAGACAGCUAGGAGGUUGGCUUAGAAGCAGCCACCCUUUAAAGAAAGCGUAAUAGCUCACUAGUCGAGUCGGCCUGCGCGGAAGAUGUAACGGGGCUCAAACCAUGCACCGAAGCUACGGGUAUCACUUAGGUGAUGCGGUAGAGGAGCGUUCUGUAAGCCUGUGAAGGUGAGUUGAGAAGCUUGCUGGAGGUAUCAGAAGUGCGAAUGCUGACAUGAGUAACGACAAUGGGUGUGAAAAACACCCACGCCGAAAGACCAAGGUUUCCUGCGCAACGUUAAUCGACGCAGGGUUAGUCGGUCCCUAAGGCGAGGCUGAAAAGCGUAGUCGAUGGAAAACAGGUUAAUAUUCCUGUACUUCUGGUUAUUGCGAUGGAGGGACGGAGAAGGCUAGGCCAGCUUGGCGUUGGUUGUCCAAGUUUAAGGUGGUAGGCUGAGAUCUUAGGUAAAUCCGGGAUCUUAAGGCCGAGAGCUGAUGACGAGUUGCCAUUAGGCGACGAAGUGGUUGAUGCCAUGCUUCCAAGAAAAGCUUCUAAGCUUCAGGUAACCAGGAACCGUACCCCAAACCGACACAGGUGGUUGGGUAGAGAAUACCAAGGCGCUUGAGAGAACUCGGGUGAAGGAACUAGGCAAAAUGGCACCGUAACUUCGGGAGAAGGUGCGCCGGUGAGGGUGAAGGACUUGCUCCGUAAGCCCAUGCCGGUCGAAGAUACCAGGCCGCUGCGACUGUUUAUUAAAAACACAGCACUCUGCAAACACGAAAGUGGACGUAUAGGGUGUGACGCCUGCCCGGUGCCGGAAGGUUAAUUGAUGGGGUUAGCUAACGCGAAGCUCUUGAUCGAAGCCCCGGUAAACGGCGGCCGUAACUAUAACGGUCCUAAGGUAGCGAAAUUCCUUGUCGGGUAAGUUCCGACCUGCACGAAUGGCGUAACGAUGGCGGCGCUGUCUCCACCCGAGACUCAGUGAAAUUGAAAUCGCUGUGAAGAUGCAGUGUAUCCGCGGCUAGACGGAAAGACCCCGUGAACCUUUACUAUAGCUUUGCACUGGACUUUGAAUUUGCUUGUGUAGGAUAGGUGGGAGGCUUUGAAGCGUGGACGCCAGUUCGCGUGGAGCCAACCUUGAAAUACCACCCUGGCAACUUUGAGGUUCUAACUCAGGUCCGUUAUCCGGAUCGAGGACAGUGUAUGGUGGGUAGUUUGACUGGGGCGGUCUCCUCCUAAAGAGUAACGGAGGAGUACGAAGGUGCGCUCAGACCGGUCGGAAAUCGGUCGUAGAGUAUAAAGGCAAAAGCGCGCUUGACUGCGAGACAGACACGUCGAGCAGGUACGAAAGUAGGUCUUAGUGAUCCGGUGGUUCUGUAUGGAAGGGCCAUCGCUCAACGGAUAAAAGGUACUCCGGGGAUAACAGGCUGAUACCGCCCAAGAGUUCAUAUCGACGGCGGUGUUUGGCACCUCGAUGUCGGCUCAUCACAUCCUGGGGCUGAAGCCGGUCCCAAGGGUAUGGCUGUUCGCCAUUUAAAGUGGUACGCGAGCUGGGUUUAGAACGUCGUGAGACAGUUCGGUCCCUAUCUGCCGUGGACGUUUGAGAUUUGAGAGGGGCUGCUCCUAGUACGAGAGGACCGGAGUGGACGAACCUCUGGUGUUCCGGUUGUCACGCCAGUGGCAUUGCCGGGUAGCUAUGUUCGGGAAAGAUAACCGCUGAAAGCAUCUAAGCGGGAAACUUGCCUCAAGAUGAGAUCUCACUGGAACCUUGAGUUCCCUAAAGGGCCGUCGAAGACUACGACGUUGAUAGGUUGGGUGUGUAAGCGCUGUGAGGCGUUGAGCUAACCAAUACUAAUUGCCCGUGAGGCUUGACCAUA
rnacentral:rRNA from 1 species